rnacentral:misc_RNA from 1 species
UCUCCGUAGGUGAACCUGCGGAGGGAUCAUUACUGAGCGAGGGUCUCCGGGCCCGACCUCCAACCCUUUUGUGAACCACCUCGUUGCUUCGGGGGCGACCCUGCCGUUUGCGGCGUGGGGCCCCCGGAGCCCAUCAAACCCUGCACAACUAAGUCGUCGGAGUUUAAAUAAAUCAAUCAAAACUUUCAACAACGGAUCUCUUGGUUCGGGCAUCGAUGAAGAACGCAGC